rnacentral:rRNA from 1 species
UACAGAGGGGGCAAGCGUUGUUCGGAAUUACUGGGCGUAAAGGGCGCGUAGGCGGCUUGAUAAGCGUGCGGUGAAAGCCCGGGCUCAACCCCGGGUCGGCCGUGCGAACUGUCGAGCUGGAGCACUGUAGAGGCAGGUGGAAUUCCGGGUGUAGCGGUGGAAUGCGUAGAGAUCCGGAAGAACACCGGUGGCGAAGGCGGCCUGCUGGGCAGUGGCUGACGCUGAGGCGCGACAGCG